rnacentral:rRNA from 1 species
ACGAACGCUGGCGGCGUGCUUAACACAUGCAAGUCGAACGGUGAAGCGCCUUCCUUUUUGGUGGGUGUGGAUGAGUGGCGAACGGGUGAGUAACACGUGAGUAACCUGCCCCCUUCUUCUGGAUAACCGCAUGAAAGUGUGGCUAAUACGGGAUAUUCUGGGUCUGUCGCAUGAUGGGUCUGGGAAAGAUAUUGUUUCGGUGGGGGAUGGGCUCGCGGCCUAUCAGCUUGUUGGUGGGGUGAUGGCCUACCAAGGCGGUGACGGGUAGCCGGCCUGAGGGGGUGGACGGCCGCGCGGGGACUGAGACACGGCCCAGACUCCGACGGGAGGCAGCAGCGGGGAAGAUUGCACGAUGGGCGCAAGCCUGAUGCGGCGACGCCGCGUGAGGGAUGGAGGCCUUCGGGUUGUGAACCUCUUUCGCCAGUGAAGCAGGCCUGCCUCGUUUGUGGGUGGGUUGACGGUAGCUGGAUAAGAAGCGCCGGCUAACUACGU